rnacentral:lncRNA from 1 species
AUGUGUCUCUCACUGCGAACCAUUUUGGCCUUUACACGCCUUCAUCCAGCUGCUGGAACUCACAGGUCAACACUCGCACAAGGAAAUCAAAAUGCAGCAGGUUCUCACCUGUGUGUAAAUAAGCAGUUGAAUCAAAAUCAAAUUAAAAGUCAACUUCACUUCACAACAGAGAGCAACCCAAACCUGCGCCUUACUUUUAGGGUUAAAAUAUUCCCUCUCACUCGUUAUCUUGUCUGUGUAUUCCUCAUUAGGGCAGCUGGUGCCUUUGUCCUGCAGUCACUGGACAAAAUGCAAGGGGACAACCUGGACAUGCAGGCCGGUGAGUGGAUCAAUGAUGAGAAAAAAUGGCCCAAACUUCAAUAGCCAAACAACCACUUAUGAUCGGCACACCAAACCUCUAUUCCUGGGAGAGCCUGAAAUCCUACAAAAUCCUGGAUGCCUGCAACUAUGUCACAGACGACCACGUUCAGGACAUACUAUUACACAAUUAGAAUAUUGAAAACUUCAUGGCUAUGAAGAAUGAGGUGCUGCUGAGUCAAAGACAAGGGAAGAAGACCAAGAUGUACAAAGCCUGGGUCAUUUUAAACAAGAAAAAUAACUGCAUUAAACCAUAAAAAAAUGUAUGUGAAGUUUACCUUUAAAUUUGUUGACCUAUGAGUUUAUUAUUUUAUUUUAUUGCAUGAGAAGUAUUUAAAUGAUAAUGACUUACCUUUGUAUAGUGCCUUUUAUAGCUAAUACAGUGUUUGUUUUGUUCUUGCACCAAUGCAGCAAUUUCACACAUUUGGCAGCAAACCCGUUAUGAUUCUGAAUCUGAUUCUGAUUCUGAAUCUGAUUCUGAAUCUGAUUCUGGUUCAGAAUCUGAAUCUGAAUCAGAAUCAGAUUCUGAUGAAAAUCUAAUUCUGAUUCUGAAAUAAAAAGUCAAAACAAUGGAUUCUACAUAACAUCUAUAAAGGUCAUGGCACAGUCUGUAAUGCACGCUGCAAAAAUAUUUAAUGAUUCAAAGUCCCACUGUUGGUCAGCUCAGCUCAUCCCCUGCCACAUUGCCUCACACUCUUCUGGGUUUUUUUUUCAUAGGAAUGAAGUUUACUAUUUAAAUUUACCUCCGCCAUGUGACUGUGACACUGUCGUAUUCCAUAUUUAAAUGUCCUAUUUUUCACUGUGACCUGCUCCACUUUGCUCUUCAGAACCAACAAAUAGGAGAAGUGAUGGGGUUGGGCAGCCUGGAUGCUCUUCCUGACCUGGAGUCAGGAGUUCUUCAUGGGUACUGUGUGUGUGCGCAUGUGUGUGUGUGUGUGUGUGUGUGUGUGUGUGUGUGUGUGUGUGUGUGUGUGUGUGUGUGUGUGUGUGUGUGUGUGUGUGUGUGU